rnacentral:rRNA from 1 species
UACGUAGGGUGCAAGCGUUGUCCGGAAUUAUUGGGCGUAAAGAGCUCGUAGGUGGUUUGUCGCGUCUGCCGUGAAAGCCCGGGGCUUAACUCCGGGUCUGCGGUGGAUACGGGCAGACUAGAGGCAGGUAGGGGAGAACGGAAUUCCCGGUGUAGCGGUGAAAUGCGCAGAUAUCAGGAAGAACACCCGUGGCGAAGGCGGCUCUCUGGGACGGUACUGACGCUGAGACGCGAAAGCGUGGGGAGCGAACAGG